GUGGAAGUUCUGGGAAAGCAGUCUAGAUCGUAGUAUAUCGAAUUCAUUGAAUACUUACUUAACCCUAUACCAAUUUCUAUAUUUUAUAUGCUUCAAAAUUGUAACAUUUGUCAAGGAUAAAAUUCAAAGUAGUAAAUAAAUUCAAAUAGUAAAGUGUAAGCCACAACUAAAGUUAAAGGAAAAAUUGAAUGAGGUGAAGCUAAUAACACUGUUAUAAAGAUUUGUCUUGGAGUGCUUGCUAUUUGUUUAUUUUAACUGAACUCCCACACACACAUAGUGAUUGAAAGCAUCCAUAGGCUAAGUGAAUGCUUCUACAGCCACAUCCAGGUGCAGCUGGUGGUAUUAGAUGGCCUAAGCAGACCGACUUACUGGUCACCUGCACAUCCUUAUCCUGCGCCACUCUCUUCCGUCUUUCCACUUUUCUUCGGUCGUUCUUAUUCUCUUUGCCUUGCCGUUUUAUCUAAGCUCAGCUUUGGCAUUGUUAAUACCAACACAUUUUCACAUUUUUACCCGCUUGGAAAAUUUACGUAUUUCCCAGCCCACCGAUGUCUCGAUGCCCCCACCCUGCUGCUGAUGCCACGGCAUUUGGACUUUCCUGCACUUUAGUAAGCGCACAAAUCCGCACGAGAAACGGAUGAAAAAAAAAGGGAUUUUAUCUUUUAGACGCUUGUUGCUUUUGGCUCCUUGAAGUCGCCGUCCGGACAUUUCCGGCUAAAGGAAUACGUAUGCUCGUGUGCUGACGUGGAAUUAUCGCUGGUCCAGAUUUAUACCGGUGCCAACAAUGCUACUGGCUGAUUGUGGGAAUUAACAGCUCCGUUUCUCGGCAACAUUAAUUUAUGGCUUAAGCGGCUAGCGAAAACAGUUAGGGCAAUAUUGAAUUCAGUCGAAACAUUGGUGGCCACAAAUGCUGCACGCUCAUUGAAUGUCCUUUUCUAGGUUUCUUGGGACCUUCCACAAUUUCCACCGAACACCAUCGUUGCCCAGUCAUCUGUGCUGAUUUCCAUGGCAAAUUUCUCCUUUCGCACCAUUCAUUUGCAGCGCCGAACAAUGGAUUCCAAAAAAAAGAAACCGAAAGUGGGAAAAAGUGUCUGCUGCAUUGAGACAAAUUUAAUGAAAUUUCAAAUUGCCAUUCGCCUUCUGUCUAGAUCUCAGGAUGCUUUCGACUCCACUUCGUUGUGUCAAAGCAAAAGGGGGUCGUUCCGGUUUUCUAUUCCAAAAUUUUUACCAUACCUCUAAAGAGUUUUACAUGUAGUGGGUUCUUCGGGGGCUCUUAGACAAUUGAUUCUUUCUAGAGGGUCCCAUUCAACAACUUUUACUGAAUAUACUGAUGUAGCCACAAAACAAAAACAAACAAAACAAUUUGCAACUUGUGGCAGAUUCCAAUACAUAAUCAAAAAAAAACGUUAAUUCCCGGAAAUAAACGAGAAACCAGAAUUGGCGAGUGUGAAUAUCGGAAUCUCUCUUCUCCGCCUUCAUCGUGGGCUUUGCAUGUCGGUCAGGAGUCGACUCAAGUCGCCUCGUUCAGGAUGUCCUUUGUGCCGCUGUGACAGCUGCUCAUUUCACGCUUGGUAAUUUCAAUGAAUUUUGCGAAGAUUCCGCAGAACAUGCCAUGCCACGGCACGCUAUCCACUUAUUUGUAUGCCGGUCAUUAAUUAAAUUUUCUCAUUUAUAUUGGAUACGUCUA